UACGUAGGGUGCGAGCGUUAAUCGGAAUUACUGGGCGUAAAGCGUGCGCAGGCGGUUUUGUAAGCCAGAUGUGAAAUCCCCGGGCUUAACCUGGGAACUGCAUUUGUGACUGCACGGCUAGAGUGCGGCAGAGGGGGAUGGAAUUCCGCGUGUAGCAGUGAAAUGCGUAGAUAUGCGGAGGAACACCGAUGGCGAAGGCAAUCCCCUGGGCCUGCACUGACGCUCAUGCACGAAAGCGUGGGGAGCAAACAGG
rnacentral:rRNA from 1 species